rnacentral:rRNA from 1 species
GAAACCCUGGGUAAUGCCCGAUAAUCUCUCCGGAGCAAAUGGUGUGAUUCCGCCUGAGGAGCGGCUUAUUUGAUAUUAGCUUGUUGGUGGGGUAAUGGCCUACCAAGGCUGUGAUGUCUAGGGGGUGUGAGAGCAUGGCCCCCACGACCGGGACUGAGACACUGCCCGGACACCUACGGGUGGCUGCAGUCGAGAAUCUUCCGCAAUGGACGAAAGUCCGACGGAGCGACGCCNCGUGCGGGACGAANGCCCUUGGGUUGUAAACCGCUGUCANAGGGGAUGAAAUCGUUGGGGGCUAUCCCCCUUCGUUGACAGANCCUCNGAGGAAGCACGGNCUANNUACGUGCCAGCAGCCGCGGUAACACGUACUGUGCGAACGUUAUUCGGAAUCACUGGGCUUAAANGGUGCGUAGGCUGCUUGGCAAGUCAGGUGUGAAUUUUACGGCUCAACCGUGAACUGCGCUUGAAACUGCCAGCUUGAGUACAUAGGGGUGUGCGGAACUUCCANUGGAAACGUGAAAUGUG